UUACCUGGGCUUAAAUGUAGAGUGCAUUUUCUAGAGAUAGGAAUUCCCUUCGGGGCUUUCUGCAAGGUGCUGCAUGGUUGUCGUCAGCUCGUGCCGUGAGGUGUCGGGUUAAGUCCCAUAACGGGCGCAACCCUUAUCGUUAGUUGCCAGCGGGUAAUGCCGGGGACUCUAGCGAAACUGCCACCGUAAGGUGAGAGGAAGGUGGGGAUGACGUCAAAUCAGCACGGCCCUUAUGUCCAGGGCUACACACGUGUUACAAUGGCCGGUACAGAGGGCAGCUACCUGGUGACAGGAUGCUAAUCUCGAAAACCGGUCUCAGUUCGGAUCGAAGUCUGCAACUCGACCUCGUGAAGCUGGAUUCGCUAGUAAUCGCGCAUCAGCCAUGGCGCGGUGAAUACGUUCCCGGGCCUUGUACACACCGCCCGUCAAGCCAUGGAAGCUGGGGGUGCCUGAAGUUCGUAACCGCAAGGAGCGUCCUAGGGUAAAACUAGUGACUGGGGCGAAGUCGUAACAAGGUAGCC
rnacentral:rRNA from 1 species